rnacentral:rRNA from 1 species
UACGUAGGCAGCAAGCGUUGUUCGGAAUUACUGGGCGUAAAGAGUGUGUAGGCGGUGCUCUAAGUUCGUUGUGAAAUCUCCCGGCUUAACUGGGAGGGUGCGGCGGAAACUGGAGUGCUUGAGCGCGGGAGAGGAAAGCGGAAUUCCUGGUGUAGCGGUGAAAUGCGUAGAUAUCAGGAGGAACACCUGUGGUGUAGACGGCUUUCUGGGACCGUAG